AUACAGCAGUAGGGACUAUCUGUAUUAGGAAUAAGAACCCUUUCCCCUCCCUUAUCCAGUGUGCCCUUGCCAUUGCUCCAUCUGCAAGACUCACCCUUCUAUAGAAGUAAAUUUGCCUUGCUGGAGUGUUAACUUGUUGUUGGAGUGCUAACUCUUCUUUGUGGCACCAAAAAGUUAUUUCCAACACGAAGCUGCACCCUUGGUGGAGGGAACAUCUGACGAAGUUCAAUGUUUGGGGAAAACAAUAUCUGGAAAGAUUGAAGAGUCAGCAGGAGAAACACCUAGGAAAAUUACAAGGCCUGUGAAAGAAACAUCUGAGAAAUUUGCAUGGCCACAAGAAAGACCUACAAAGACCACAUGGGAGGAAAAAGAAACAUCUGUAAAGACUGAAUGCGUGGCAGGAGUAACAUCUAAUAAAACUGAAGUUUUGGAAGAAGGAACAUCUAAGAUGAUCACAUGUCCUACAAAAAAACAGCUACAAAAGCAAGUACACAUGGAAGGAUGCAUUAGUCUUUCACCUGUUCAGUAUGAUGUUGGCUGAGGAUUUGUCUCAUAUGGCUGUUAUUAUUUUGAGGUAUGUUCCUUCAAUGCCUAGUUUUUUGAGAAUUUUUUUCAUAAAUAGAUAUUACAUUUUAUUAAUUGCUAUUUCCACAUCUAUUGAGGUAAUGUGGUUUUGUUUUUUAAU
rnacentral:lncRNA from 1 species